AUUGAACGCUGGCGGCAGGCCUAACACAUGCAAGUCGAACGGCAGCACAGAAGAGCUUGCUCUUUGGGUGGCGAGUGGCGGACGGGUGAGUAAUGUCUGGGAAACUGCCCGAUGGAGGGGGAUAACUACUGGAAACGGUAGCUAAUACCGCAUAACGUCGCGAGACCAAAGUGGGGGACCUUCGGGCCUCACACCAUCGGAUGUGCCCAGAUGGGAUUAGCUAGUAGGUGGGGUAAUGGCUCACCUAGGCGACGAUCCCUAGCUGGUCUGAGAGGAUGAGCGGCCACACUGGAACUGAGACACGUUCCAGACUAUUACGGGAGGCAGCAGUGGGGAAUAUUGCACAAUGGGCGCAAGCCUGAUGCAGCCAUGCCGCGUGUAUGAAGAAGGCCUUCGGGUUGUAAAGUACUUUCAGCGGGGAGGAAGGCGGUGAGGUUAAUAACCUCGCCGAUUGACGUUACCCGCAGAAGAAGCACCGGCUAACUCCGUGCCAGCAGCCACGGUAA
rnacentral:rRNA from 1 species